rnacentral:rRNA from 1 species
UACGGAGGGGGCUAGCGUUGUUCGGAAUUACUGGGCGUAAAGCGCACGUAGGCGGCUUUGUAAGUUAGAGGUGAAAGCCCGGGGCUCAACCCCGGAAUUGCCUUUAAGACUGCAUCGCUUGAACGUCGGAGAGGUGAGUGGAAUUCCGAGUGUAGAGGUGAAAUUCGUAGAUAUUCGGAAGAACACCAGUGGCGAAGGCGGCUUACUGGACGGUGACUGACGCUGAGACGCGAAAGCGUGGGGAGCAAACAGG